CAGAUAAGGUUUAGGUUUGAUGGACAGCCAAUUAAUGAACAGACACACCUGCACAGCUGGAGAUGGAGGACGAGGACACAUAUUGAUGUAUUUCAACACAGACAGGAGGAGUCUGUUCUUAAGCGGGAUGUGGACUCUUGGAAGCACACACCACACCAUUAUUUUCAUGUUGUAAUUGUUAAUUUCUUUAUUUGAUUCUUUUUUCUUUUCUUUUUUUCCCCCCCUCCUGUGCUUGGUUAAAUGUCAGGCUCAUCGCAACAUAAAAGAAUUGUACAGUUGUUUUAUGUUUGUUUGUUUUUUGUUUCAUUCUGGGCCAAAUCCAAACUUUGAGAUGCAGGGUAAUAUUUUUAAAAAGAAGAAACAUGUUUUAUUCACAAAAAUGGAUGAUUUGAAAUUGUCCAAGGCAGGGACACAUCUCAGAUCAGAUAUGGCUCGUAAUGAAAA